AUUGAACGCUGGCGGCAUGCUUUACACAUGCAAGUCGAACGGUAACAGGCCGCAAGGUGCUGACGAGUGGCGAACGGGUGAGUAAUGCAUCGGAACGUGCCCAGUCGUGGGGGAUAACGCAGCGAAAGCUGCGCUAAUACCGCAUACGAUCUAUGGAUGAAAGCGGGGGACCGUAAGGCCUCGCGCGAUUGGAGCGGCCGAUGUCAGAUUAGGUAGUUGGUGGGGUAAAGGCUCACCAAGCCAACGAUCUGUAGCUGGUCUGAGAGGACGACCAGCCACACUGGGACUGAGACACGGCCCAGACUCCUACGGGAGGCAGCAGUGGGGAAUUUUGGACAAUGGGCGCAAGCCUGAUCCAGCAAUGCCGCGUGCAGGAAGAAGGCCUUCGGGUUGUAAACUGCUUUUGUACGGAACGAAACGGCUCUGGUUAGUACCUGGGGUCCAUGACGGUACCGUAAGAAUAAGCACCGGCUAACUACGUGCCAGCAGCCGCCGUAACAC
rnacentral:rRNA from 1 species